rnacentral:lncRNA from 1 species
CAUAUCAUCACGAACCCCUUCAAGAAGGUCGUCUCUUUUCAGUUUUGUCAUCCUACUAGGUGUUUGUAGGAUACACUUAGGAUUUGGAUUUAUAGGGAGUAAUAGAUUGAAUCUACUCUAUAUUCUAGGAAUACACCAGCAUAUACCUAACUAAGAAAAAUAACAAAAGACCCAUAAACUGCACCAACCUCAAUUAAUAAAUAAACGCCAUAUUCCCCAA